CCCCAACCUUGCUGAGCUCUUCUGGGGACAGCCAGGACGCACUGGGGACAGUCCAGGGACAGCCAGGAUGCAGCAGGGACAGCAAGGACACCCUGGGGACAGCCGGGAUACACCGGGGCCGAGUGGGAUGUGCUAGAGAAAUGGCCUCGGGGUGCGGGGACACAUCGAGGACAGCUGGGACUCGCCAGGGACACGCAGGGACAGCCAGGGAUGCGCUGGGGACACUAGGGACAGUCAGGAUGUGGUGGGGACAACAGAGACACACGCAGGGGACAGCUGGGGUGUACUGGGGACCGGCGGGUGGGAUGAAAGACUGUGAGGGACACCGCAGGGAUACCCGGGAUGUAGGGGGGACACUGAGGACACCGCAGGGACAGUCUGGGUGCAAUGGGGACACUGGGGACACCACAGGGAGAGUCAGGAUUCACUGGUGACCCUGGGGACAGCCGGAAUGCACUGGGGACACCCCAGAAACAGCCAGGACGCAGUGGGGACACUGGGGACACCACAGGGACAGCCGGGAUGCAAUGGGGACACCCCAGGGACAGUCCGGGUGCAAUGGGGACACUGGGGACACCCCAGGGACAGCCGAGAUGCAAUGGGGACACUGGGGACACCCCAGGGACAGCCGGGGUGCAGUGGGGACACCCCAGGGACAGCCGGGGUGCAAUGGGGACACUGGGGACACCCCAGGGACAGUCCAGGUGCAAUGGGGACACUGGGGACACCCCAGGGACAGUCCGGGUGCAAUGGGGACACCGCAGGGACAGUCCGGGUGCAAUGGGGACACUGGGGACACCCCAGGGACAGUCUGGGUGCAAUGGGGACACUGGGGACACCCCAGGGACAGCCGGGAUGCAAUGGGGACACUGGGGACACCCCAGGGACAGUCCGGGUGCAAUGGGGACACUGGGGACACCCCAGGGACAGCCAGGACGCAGUGGGGACACCCCAGGGACAGCCGGGAUGCAGUGGGGACACCUCAGAGACAGCCGGGAUGCUCUGGGGACAGGCGGGGACACCCCAGGAUGCAGCGGGGAGAGCCGAGGACACGACGGGGAUGCACCGGGGACAUGCGAACGCCACCGACCGGGCCACCCCCGCCGCUCCCCCGGGCUCAACCCCCACCCUCUCACGGCACGAUCCGGUGCCCGGAGGCCACGGAUGCCCCCCCCGCCUCCGGUGCCCCCGAGGAGCGGCCCGACCCCCCGGUCCCCCCGCCGCGGAGCGACCGGACUCACCGGGGGCUACGGCGGGGCCAGGGCCGGGGCCGGGGCGGCAUGGCCGGGGCUGGGACCGGGACCGGGACCGGGGCGGGACCGGCGGCGGCGGCGGUGACGUCAUGGCUCCACCGGGCCGGCCCCGCCCUGCGCCCCCGCCGCCGCCAAUC
rnacentral:lncRNA from 1 species